rnacentral:rRNA from 1 species
AUUGAACGCUGGCGGCAUGCCUUACACAUGCAAGUCGAACGGUAACAGGUCUUCGGAUGCUGACGAGUGGCGAACGGGUGAGUAAUACAUCGGAACGUGCCUAGUAGUGGGGGGUAACUACUCGAAAGAGUGGCUAAUACCGCAUGAGAUCUACGGAUGAAAGCAGGGGAUCGCAAGACCUUGUGCUACUAGAGCGGCCGAUGGCAGAUUAGGUAGUUGGUGGGAUAAAAGCUUACCAAGCCGACGAUCUGUAGCUGGUCUGAGAGGACGAUCAGCCACAAUGGGACUGAGACACGGCCCAGACUCCUACGGGAGGCAGCAGUGGGGAAUUUUGGACAAUGGGCGAAAGCCUGAUCCAGCAAUGCCGCGUGCAGGAUGAAGGCCUUCGGGUUGUAAACUGCUUUUGUACGGAACGAAAAGCCCCGGGUUAAUACCCUGGGGUCAUGACGGUACCGUAAGAAUAAGCACCGGCUAACUACGUGCCAGCCGCCGCAGUAA